rnacentral:rRNA from 1 species
UACGUAGGGUGCAAGCGUUGUCCGGAAUUAUUGGGCGUAAAGAGCUCGUAGGCGGUUCGUCGCGUCGGCCGUGAAAACUUGGGGCUUAACCCCAAGCCUGCGGUCGAUACGGGCAGACUUGAGUUCGGCAGGGGAGACUGGAAUUCCUGGUGUAGCGGUGAAAUGCGCAGAUAUCAGGAGGAACACCGGUGGCGAAGGCGGGUCUCUGGGCCGAUACUGACGCUGAGGAGCGAAAGCGUGGGGAGCGAACAGG